AGGCUUUGAUCCUGGCUCAGAAUGAACGUUGGCGGCGUGGAUUAGGCAUGCAAGUCGAGCGAGAAGUUUCAUUCGGGAGACGGACAGCGGCGAAAGGGAGAGGAAUACGUAGAAAUCUACCCCUGAGUCCGGGAUAGCGUCGGGAAACUGGCAGUAAUACCGGAUAACGUCUUCGGACCAAAGGUGUGAUUCCGCUCGGGGAUGAGUCUACGCCCUAUUAGCUAGUUGGUGGGGUAAUGGCCUACCAAGGCAAUGAUGGGUAGCGGGUGUGAGAGCAUGACCCGCCUCACUGGGACUGAGACACUGCCCAGACACCUACGGGUGGCUGCAGUCGAGAAUCUUUGUCAAUGGACGAAAGUCUGAACAAGCGACGCCGCGUGCGGGAUGAAGGCCUUCGGGUUGUAAACCGCUGUCGUAGGGGAACAACAUGUAGAGGGGUUCUCCCCUUUAUUGAGUGAUCUAGGAGGAAGGAUCGGCAUAGUUGAGUC
rnacentral:rRNA from 1 species